CGUCGUCCCUCACCAUCC
rnacentral:snRNA from 1 species